rnacentral:rRNA from 2 species
CUGGCUCAGGACGAACGCUGGCGGCGUGCCUAAUACAUGCAAGUCGAACGAACUCUGGUAUUGAUUGGUGCUUGCAUCAUGAUUUACAUUUGAGUGAGUGGCGAACUGGUGAGUAACACGUGGGAAACCUGCCCAGAAGCGGGGGAUAACACCUGGAAACAGAUGCUAAUACCGCAUAACAACUUGGACCGCAUGGUCCGAGCUUGAAAGAUGGCUUCGGCUAUCACUUUUGGAUGGUCCCGCGGCGUAUUAGCUAGAUGGUGAGGUAACGGCUCACCAUGGCAAUGAUACGUAGCCGACCUGAGAGGGUAAUCGGCCACAUUGGGACUGAGACACGGCCCAAACUCCUACGGGAGGCAGCAGUAGGGAAUCUUCCACAAUGGACGAAAGUCUGAUGGAGCAACGCCGCGUGAGUGAAGAAGGGUUUCGGCUCGUAAAACUCUGUUGUUAAAGAAGAACAUAUCUGAGAGUAACUGUUCAGGUAUUGACGGUAUUUAACCAGAAAGCCACGGCUAACUACGUGCCAGCAGCCGCGGUAAUACGUAGGUGGCAAGCGUUGUCCGGAUUUAUUGGGCGUAAAGCGAGCGCAGGCGGUUUUUUAAGUCUGAUGUGAAAGCCUUCGGCUCAACCGAAGAAGUGCAUCGGAAACUGGGAAACUUGAGUGCAGAAGAGGACAGUGGAACUCCAUGUGUAGCGGUGAAAUGCGUAGAUAUAUGGAAGAACACCAGUGGCGAAGGCGGCUGUCUGGUCUGUAACUGACGCUGAGGCUCGAAAGUAUGGGUAGCAAACAGGAUUAGAUACCCUGGUAGUCCAUACCGUAAACGAUGAAUGCUAAGUGUUGGAGGGUUUCCGCCCUUCAGUGCUGCAGCUAACGC